GACGAACGCUGGCGGCGUGCUUAACACAUGCAAGUCGAACGGAAAGGCCUCUUUCGGGGGGUACUCGAGUGGCGAACGGGUGAGUAACACGUGAGUAACCUGCCCUUGACUUUGGGAUAACUUCAGGAAACUGGGGCUAAUACCGGAUAGGAGCUCCUGCUGCAUGGUGGGGGUUGGAAAGUUUCGGCGGUUGGGGAUGGACUCGCGGCUUAUCAGCUUGUUGGUGGGGUAGUGGCUUACCAAGGCUUUGACGGGUAGCCGGCCUAGAGGGUGACCGGCCACAUUGGGACUGAGAUACGGCCCAGACUCCUACGGGAGGCAGCAGUGGGGAAUAUUGCACAAUGGGUGGAAGCCUGAUGCAGCAACGCCGUGUGCGGGAUGACGGCCUUCGGGUUGUAAACCGCUUUCGCUCAUGACGAAGCUUUGUGUGACGGUAGUGGGUAAAGAAGCACCGGCUAACUACGUG
rnacentral:rRNA from 1 species